UGUGAUCCAAAGUAAUGGCCAAUUUGUGAGUUUGUUGGUCAGUGUAUUUACAGAUCGAUCCAUUUCUGGACAAGCCCAGCCCAUUUCCACAACUUCGUCUCUAGGGCUUGAUAUAUUUCUCCCCCAAUUCCAUCUCCGUUCCCUUGGAUGAGCGAUGUCUGCGCUGGUGCUUCCUUCAAGUCUCUCCCGAGGAUCUGCGAGCACGCUCCUCGAAGGGCAUCGCCUCGCCUUCCCAAUCCGCCAUGUGCCUCGCCGGCAAUUUUUUCGGAUCGACGCAAGGAAUAACGCUCGGGAAGAAAGCGCCAAGAUAAGAAACCGGAGGAUGCAAAGAAAGUACAAUGGUUCGGCUAGGAAGCCUAGACUCUCUGUGUUCUGCUCCAACAAACAAUUGUAUGCGAUGCUGGUCGAUGAUCAAAACAAGAAAACUCUCUUCUACGGCAGUACGUUGCAGAAAUCGAUUCGGGGAAAUCCUCCAUGUACCAGUGCUGAAGCUGCUCAGAAGGUGGGCGAAGAGCUGAUCGAAGCGUGCAAGAAUCUGAACAUAUCUGAAAUAUCCUCUUACGAUCGUAAUGGUUGCAAGACGGGUGAAAGAAUAUCAGCAUUCGAGAUUCCUAUCUCACUACAUGGCUUCUUGUUUAGUUAGCUUCAAUUCCCAACUUUUGCAUCAUGUAUAUAAAUUCGAGGGACAGCAAACACUAAUUAUAACAUGGUGGCUUAAUUUGAGUCUCCCAAUUCGUCUUCCACAGUAGCAGACACAUGGAACCCGGCAACAUACUAUAGCAACACAGAAUCCAGCUAAGAUUUUAGCAUAAAGAAAGAAUCUAAGCUUAGAUUCCAAAGAAAAAUGUCAAACUGCAAGUACAGCACCGCAUUAAUUAAAUCAUUUUUCGGAGACCUCGCAAGGUAGGACACGCAAGCUUUGGCUUUGUUUCCCCUUCCUGUGUCACUGUUGCUUGGCAGACGACUUCCUCCUCCCAGGGAUGCACUUCCCUCUCGCGCCGUCUCCUCCUCCAUUUUCUUUCUCUAGCUCCGACCUCCCUUCUCCAAUCCCAGA